AUCGAACGCUGGCGGCAGGCCUAACACAUGCAAGUCGAGCGAGCGGCGGACGGGUGAGUAAUGUCUGGGAAAUUGCCUGAUGGAGGGGGAUAACUACUGGAAACGGUAGCUAAUACCGCAUACCAUCAGAUGUGCCCAGAUGGGAUUAGAUAGUAGGUGGGGUAAUGGCUCACCGAGGCGACGAUCCCUAGCUGGGCUGAGAGGAUGACCGGCCGCCCUGGAACGUAGACACGGACCAGACUCCUACGGGAGGAAGCGGUGGGGAAUAUUGGACAAUGGGCGCAAGCCUGAUGCAGCCAUGCCGCGUGUAUGAAGAAGGCCUUCGGGUUGUAAGGUACUUUCAGCGGGGAGGCGUUACCCGCAGAAGAAGCACCGGCUAACUCCGUGCCAGCCGCCGCGGUAAUUC
rnacentral:rRNA from 1 species